AUUGAACGCUGGCGGCAUGCCUUACACAUGCAAGUCGAACGGUAACAGGUCUUCGGAUGCUGACGAGUGGCGAACGGGUGAGUAAUACAUCGGAACGUGCCUAGUAGUGGGGGAUAACUACUCGAAAGAGUGGCUAAUACCGCAUGAGAUCUACGGAUGAAAGCAGGGGAUCGCAAGACCUUGUGCUACCUGAGCGGACGAUGGCAGAUUAGGUAGUUGGUGGGAUAAAAGCUUACCAAGCCGACGAUCUGUAGCUGGUCUGAGAGGACGAUCAGCCACACUGGGACUGAGAAACGGCCCAGACUCCUACGGGAGGCAGCAGUGGGGAAUUUUGGACAAUGGGCGCAAGCCUGAUCCAGCAAUGCCGCGUGCAGGAUGAAGGCCUUCGGGUUGUAAACUGCUUUUGUACGGAACGAAAAGCCCCGGGUUAAUACCCUGGGGUCAUGACGGUACCGUAAGAAUAAGCACCGGCUAACUACGUGCCAGCAGCCGCAGUAA
rnacentral:rRNA from 1 species